AUAAGUAGCAAGUGUAUUAUUUUGUAUAAUACUGUAAGCAACAUUAGAGCUUCAUAAAAAUAGUUUUCUCCCAGAGCUAGUGUAAUUAUGUUUUGGACUAUUUUACUUAGCGGAAGUGUAGAGUUUUGGUUCAGGAGUGUUGUUUGGGUGCUACUGAACGAGAGCAGGCAGUGAAUUCAGGUGAUAUCAACGCAAGCCGGCGAGACUCCUAUAUCAUUGCACAUUGUAUUUUACUUUUGGGGGCGUUUUGGGGACUUCCAAUACAAUACAACAUUCAUUCCUCUUCGUGUCCCCUUCCCCUUUCCUUUUCUUCGGACAUUUGAAACAUAGAACGCCUCAAGAAUGGCCCAGAUACUGCCGAUACGAUUUCAGGAACAUCUGCAGCUGCAGAACCUGGGGGUGAACCCGGCUAACAUUGGUUUCAGCUACCUGACCAUGGAGUCUGACAAGUUCAUCUGCAUCCGGGAGAAGGUGGGCGAGCAGAACCAGGUGGUGAUCAUAGACAUGGUUGACCCCAAUAACCCCAGCAGACGUCCUAUCUCUGCUGACAGUGCCAUCAUGAACCCUGCCAGCAAGGUCAUCGCCCUCAAAGCUGCUAAGUGCCUGCAGAUCUUCAACAUUGAGAUGAAGAGUAAGAUGAAGGCUCACACCAUGACCGAGGAAGUCAUGUUCUGGAAGUGGAUCUCUGUCAACACCGUCGCCUUGGUGACUGAAGCGGCCGUCUACCAUUGGAGCAUGGAGGGGGACUCGCAGCCCAUCAAAGUGUUUGAUCGGCACGCUAGUCUGGCCGGAUGCCAGAUCAUAAACUACAGAACAGACGAACAGCAGAAGUGGCUCCUCCUUAUAGGGAUCUCGGCACAGCAAAACCGUGUGGUGGGGGCCAUGCAGCUGUACUCUGUGGACAGGAAGGUGUCCCAGCCCAUCGAGGGACAUGCUGCAGCCUUCGGAGAGUUUAAGGUGGAGGGCAACACCAAAGCCUCCACUCUGUUCUGCUUCGCUGUGCGCAGCCAGGCUGGGGGCAAGCUGCACAUCAUAGAGGUGGGUCAGCCGGCUACAGGGAACCAGCCGUUUACUAAGAAGGCUGUUGACGUGUUCUUCCCACCUGAGGCUCAGACAGACUUCCCCGUCGCCAUGCAGAUUGGCACCAAGCACGGUGUGAUCUACCUGAUCACGAAGUAUGGCUACAUCCACCUGUACGACCUGGAGUCAGGAGUGUGUAUCUAUAUGAACCGCAUCAGUGCCGAGACCAUCUUCGUCACCGCCCCCCACGAACUCACCUCUGGCAUCAUCGGGGUUAACAAGAAGGGACAGGUGUUGUCAGUGUGUGUGGAGGAGGAAAACAUAGUGAACUAUGCCACCAACGUGCUGCAGAACCCAGACCUGGGCCUGAGGAUGGCUGUGCGUUCUAACCUGGCCGGGGCUGAGGAGCUGUUUGCCAGGAAGUUCAACACACUGUUCGCCCAGGGCUCCUACUCCGAGGCUGCCAAGGUGGCUGCAUCCACACCCAAGGGUAUCCUGCGCACAGCGGAGACCAUCCGUAAGUUCCAGAGCGUGCCAGCCCAGCCGGGCCAGGCCUCUCCUCUGCUGCAGUACUUUGGCAUCCUGCUGGACCAGGGCCAGCUCAACAAGUUUGAGUCUCUGGAGCUGUGCAGGCCCGUGCUACAGCAAGGACGCAAGCAGCUGCUGGAGAAGUGGCUGAAAGAGGACAAGCUGGAGUGUUGUGAGGAGCUUGGUGACCUGGUUAAGGCAGUAGAUCCUACACUAGCCCUCAGUGUCUACCUCAGAGCCAACGUACCCAGCAAGGUGAUCCAGUGCUUUGCUGAGACCGGACAGUUCCAGAAGAUAGUGCUCUACGCCAAAAAGGUGGGCUACUCUCCAGACUGGGUGUUUCUGUUGAGGAAUGUGAUGCGGGUCAGUCCAGAACAGGGUCUACAGUUCUCUCAGAUGCUGGUGGCAGAUGAGGAGCCCCUGGCCAACAUCAACCAGAUAGUGGAUGUGUUCAUGGAGGGAAGUCUGAUCCAGCAGUGUACCUCCUUCCUAUUGGACGCCCUGAAGAACAAUCAGCCAGCCGAGGGACACCUACAGACACGUCUACUGGAGAUGAACCUCAUCCACGCCCCCCAGGUAGCUGACGCGAUCCUUGGCAACCAGAUGUUUAGUCACUAUGACCGUGCCCACAUCGCCCAGCUGUGUGAGAAGGCUGGACUGCAACAGAGGGCUCUAGAGCACUACACUGACCUGUUCGACAUCAAACGGGCUGUCGUACACACACACCUGCUCAACCCUGAGUGGCUGGUGAACUACUUUGGCGCCCUGUCAGUAGAGGACUCGUAGAGUGUCUUCGGGCCAUGUUAUCAGCCAACAUCAGACAGAACCUUCAGCUGUGUGUCCAGGUGGCAUCUAAAUACCACGAGCAGCUGGGAACAAACACCCUGGUGGAGCUCUUUGAGUCCUUCAAGAGCUACGAGGGUCUGUUCUACUUCCUGGGCUCCAUAGUGAACUUCAGCCAGGACCCUGACGUCCAUUUUAAAUACAUCCAGGCGGCCUGUAAGACAGGGCAGAUCAAGGAAGUGGAGCGCAUCUGUAGAGAGAGCAACUGUUACGACCCGGACAGGGUCAAGAACUUCCUCAAGGAGGCUAAAUUGACAGACCAGCUGCCGUUGAUCAUAGUGUGUGACCGCUUUGACUUUGUCCAUGACCUGGUGCUCUAUCUCUACCGCAACACUCUGCAGAAGUAUAUAGAGAUUUACGUUCAGAAGGUGAACCCCAGCCGUCUGCCUGUGGUGAUAGGAGGUCUGUUGGAUGUAGACUGUGCUGAAGACGUCAUUAAGAACCUGAUCAUGGUGGUGAGAGGGCAGUUCUCCACUGAUGAGCUGGUGGCAGAGGUGGAGAAGAGGAACAGACUGAAGCUGUUGUUGUCGUGGCUUGAGUCUCGUAUCCACGAGGGCUGUGAAGAGCCGGCUACCCACAAUGCCUUGGCUAAGAUCUACAUUGACAGUAACAACACCCCGGAGCGCUUCCUGAAGGAGAACACCUUCUACGACAGCGCUGUAGUGGGGAAGUAUUGUGAGAAGAGAGACCCCCACCUCGCCUGUGUCGCCUAUGAGAGGGGCCAGUGUGACCUGGACCUUAUCAAGGUGUGCAAUGAGAACUCCCUGUUCAAGAGUGAGGCUCGCUACCUGGUCCGACGGAAAGACCCAGAACUAUGGGCCAACGUUCUUGAGGAGAAUAACCCUUAUAGACGCCAACUCAUAGACCAGGUGGUGCAGACCGCUCUGUCAGAGACCCAGGACCCAGAGGAGGUGUCUGUGACGGUCAAGGCCUUCAUGACAGCUGACCUGCCCAAUGAGCUCAUUGAACUACUGGAGAAGAUUGUACUGGACAACUCAGUCUUCAGCGAGCACCGAAACCUCCAGAACCUGUUGAUCCUGACGGCCAUCAAGGCAGACCGGACACGUGUGAUGGAGUACGUCAACCGCCUGGACAACUACGACGCCCCCGACAUCGCUAACAUCGCCAUCAGCAACGAGCUCUUCGAGGAGGCCUUUGCCAUCUUCAAGAAGUUUGACGUCAACACCUCCGCCAUUCAGGUCCUGAUCGAGCAAAUCAGUAACCUGGACAGAGCCUAUGAGUUUGCAGAGCGUUGUAAUGAGGCCGCGGUAUGGAGUCAACUGGCCAGAGCCCAGCUCCAGAGAGACCUGGUUAAAGAGGCCAUCGAUUCCUACAUCAAAGCCGACGACCCGUCAGCCUACAUGGAGGUGGUCAGCGCUGCCAGCAAGAACAAUAACUGGGAGGAUCUGGUGAAGUUCCUUCAGAUGGCUCGUAAGAAGGCCAGAGAGUCGUAUGUAGAGACCGAGCUCAUCUUUGCUCUGGCUAAAACUGUCAGACUGGCCGAACUAGAGGAAUUUGUCAGCGGCCCUAACAACGCCCAUAUACAACAGGUGGGAGAUAGGUGUUAUGAAGAAGGGAUGUACGAUGCCGCCAAGCUGCUGUACAAUAACGUGUCCAACUUUGCCCGCCUGGCAUCCACGCUGGUACACCUAGGAGAGUACCAAGCUGCUGUGGACAGCGCCAGGAAAGCCAACAGCACACGCACCUGGAAGGAGGUGUGUUGUGCGUGUGUGGAUGGGGAAGAGUUUCGAUUGGCUCAGAUCUGUGGUCUACACAUUGUUAUCCACGCUGAUGAACUGGAGGAGCUCAUCAGCUACUACCAGGACCGGGGUUACUAUGAGGAGCUGAUAGGCCUGUUGGAGGCCGCGUUGGGUUUGGAGCGCGCUCACAUGGGCAUGUUCACAGAGCUGGCCAUCCUCUACUCCAAAUUUAAACCCCAGAAGAUGAGAGAACACCUGGAACUCUUCUGGUCCCGCGUCAACAUCCCUAAGGUGCUGCGAGCGGCGGAGCAGUCCCAUCUGUGGGCGGAGUUAGUGUUUCUGUAUGAUAAAUACGAGGAAUAUGACAACGCUGUCCUCACGAUGAUGUCACACCCUACAGACGCUUGGAAGGAGGUGCAGUUCAAGGACAUCAUUGCCAAGGUGGCCAAUGUGGAGCUGUACUACAAAUCCCUUUCCUUUUACCUGGACAACAAACCUCUGCUGACGAAUGACCUUCUGACCAUACUGUCACCACGGUUAGACCACAGCCGCACGGUCAGCUACUUCACCAAGGUUAACCAGUUGAAGUUGGUAAAGCCUUACCUGAGGUCAGUCCAGAGUCAUAACAACAAGGGAGUCAAUGAGGCCCUCAAUAACCUGCUGACAGAGGAGGAGGACUACCAGGGUCUGAGGGCGUCUAUCGAUGCAUAUGAUAACUUUGACACCAUUGGUUUGGCCCAGAGACUGGAGAAGCAUGAGCUGAUUGAGUUCAGACGCAUCGCCGCAUACCUCUACAAAGGCAACAACCGCUGGAGACAGAGCGUGGAACUCUGCAAGAAGGACAAAUUAUACAAGGAUGGAAUGCUGUACGCUGCUGAGUCUAAGGAUGCUGAGCUGGCUGAGACCCUGUUGCAGUGGUUCCUGGAGGAGGGCAGGAAGGAGUGUUUCGCUGCCUGUCUGUUUGCCUCCUACGACCUGUUGCACCCUGACGUGGUGCUGGAGCUGGCCUGGAGACACAACAUCAUGGACUUUGCCAUGCCAUACUUCAUCCAAGUCAUGAGGGAGUACCUCACCAAGGUUGAUGAGGUUGAGGAGAAGGUGACGGUGGAUAAACUGGAGGAGUCGGAAAGCCAAAGGAAGACUGAGGAAGAAGUCACAGAACCCACCCCCAUAGUUUUCGGUCAGCAGCUGAUGUUGACGGCAGGCUCGGCUCCAGUGGCACCCCAGCCUGGAUACCCAGGAGGCUACGGAUACGCUGCCCCAGGCUACUCCCCCCAGCCUCCCUACAACUACAACAUGUAGACCACCUCUACCCCACCCAGCCUCCCUACACCAUGUAGACCACCUCUACCCCACCCAGCCCCCUACAGCUACAACAUGUAGACUACCUCUACCCCACCCAGCCCCCUACAGCUACAACAUGUAUACCACCUCUACCCCACCCAGCCUCCCUACAGCUACAACAUGUAGACCGCCUCUACCCCACCCAGCCUCCCUACAGAUACAACAUGUAGACCGCCUCUACUCCACCCAGCCUCCCUACAACUACAACAUGUAGACCGCCUCUACCCCACCCAGCCUCCCUACAACUACAACAUGUAGACCGCCUCUACCUCACCCAGCCUCCCUACAGCUACAACAUGUAGACCGCCUCCCUACAGCUACAACAUGUAGACCGCCUCUACCCCACCCAGCCUCCCUACAGCUACAACAUGUAGACCGCCUCUACCUCACCCAGCCUCCCUACAGCUACAACAUGUAGACCGCCUCCCUACAGCUACAACAUGUAGACCGCCUCUACCCCACCCAGCCUCCCUACAGCUACAACAUGUAGACCGCCUCUACCCCACCCAGCCUCCCUACAGCUACAACAUGUAGACCACCUCUACCCCACCCAGCCUCCCUACAGCUACAACAUGUAGACCGCCUCUACUCCACCCAGCCUCCCUACAACUACAACAUGUAGACCGCCUCUACUCCACCCAGCCUCCCUACAACUACAACCUGUAGACCGCCUCUACCCCACCCAGCCCCCCUACAGCUACAACAUGUAGACCGCCUCUACUCCACCCAGCCUCCCUACAACUACAACAUGUAGACCGCCUCUACUCCACCCAGCCUCCCUACAACUACAACAUGUAGACCGCCUCUACCCCACCCAGCCCCCUACAACUACAACAUGUAGACCGCCUCUACUCCACCCAGCCUCCCUACAACUACAACAUGUAGACCGCCUCUACUCCACCCAGCCUCCCUACAACUACAACAUGUAGACCGCCUCUACUCCACCCAGCCUCCCUACAACUACAACAUGUAGACCGCCUCUACCCCACCCAGCCCCCCUACAACUACAACAUGUAGACCGCCUCUACCUCACCCAGCCUCCCUACAGCUACAACAUGUAGACCGCCUCUACCCCACCCAGCCCCCCUAGGGCUACACUAAGCCUGGGUCCCAAAUGUCACCCUGUUCCCAGUAUAGUGAACUAAUUUUGACCAGGGUCCAUAUGACUCUGGUCUAAAGUAGUGCAGUAUAUAUUGGCUAUAUGGUGUUGAUUGGGACACAGAUCAUGUAGACCUUAAGGUCCCAAUAAUUCUACCUGGAGCUUCUAACAAGCCCCCCUCGGCCAACCUCAGGCCCCGACCUGAACCACACUUACCCUGCACUGGGAUACAGAUACAGCUUGCUUAUGGAUUCUAUAUGUAUUCCCCGCCUUGACACCCCCGAGACUCCCAAUCUCACUACUCUGAGACACACCUAGCCCACCUAUGGACACUCCUAACCCCCACACCCAAAUCUCUCAACUGAAAAGAUCUCCACUUUGCCCCCAUCUCCUCUCGCUCCUCACCUCACUCCCACUUCCUCUUUCUCCCCCUCUCCAAUGGAAUACAGCGAGACUAAGUGACCGCCAUUCAACACGCACCGCAUGACAACAGCGCUUAGCUCCUAGAGAAAAUAACUAAUAAGAUGUCGCUAAUGUACAGUACACCUCUCUGUCCAGGUAUUCUAUUACUGUUCUAUAGACUGCAUCAACUGUGUCAACCAUAGAACAGCUUCUUUUUUUUUAUCCUAAUGUUUUUCUAGAGAUUAUAAUACAGCACUGAUGGUACAGAGACUUUGUUACUGAGGAGCCAGAGAGGGGGUGGGUGAGGGGGGAGCAGCACCGAGUUCCCCCACCCUCUCCUAAGCACUGCUAGGCCUUAUACAGGAGGAGGUUUCAAAUUUGAGUCCGUGUUUAUGUUUGUUUCAAGACUAUUUCUGUGCAAUAGAGAUCUUAACAGGUACCAUGUGUUGGAGAUACAGUACUAUAUGGACUAGGAAUAAUAGUUACUUGGGUUAUGGUGUACUGUCUGUGUGUAGUUUAUCAAGCAUGUAGGGAUCUGUUGACAACACCAAAUUAGGGAAGGUUUGCGCUGUUCCUUCUCUUCACUAGAGUCGUAUUAUCUGAUAAUAACCAAGUCAAGAUGGAUGUUGGGUCUCUCCACUACACUGUGAUGUACGGUACAGGAUCCCACAGCUCUGGUUGUUGAUGAUGUGAAACAUAACUGCGAUAUGCUGAUGUCUGUGCAUGUGCUGCCAAACAUAUAAUGCUGUAACAAUGCAACCAGGAGCACAAUUUCCAUGUUACACAUAUACCAAGUAUUACCUACCUAUGUUGUGUUCAAAACUAAACAAAUGUAUUUUGAGGCCUUUUACUGUCUCACCAUUGGCAACAACGAACAGAAUGGUCGAAGAAACUCAAAUGUUACACAGAGAAUUAAAAACAUACUAGAGGAAUAGAGCUCGUAUGUAUCCCUGUACCAGUGGUUCAGAGUUAACAAUUCAUGUACUGAAAAAAAACAGUGUAUAAUUUAAGAUAUGUUGCGAUACUUAAAUAAGCAAAUAAGUCCAUUAUGGAAUAAAAUAGUGCAUUGUUGUAGUCUUAAUCAUUAUUAUGAUACUUUUUUUAAAAAGAAAAUGACAAAAUACAAAAAGAGCAGAAUACAAACAUAAACUAUUCAGCAUGAUUGCUUGCAGCAGCCAUCAUCCUGGAGUUUGUUUUCUUCCUGUUCAAGUAGAACCUGUCUGAUAAAUGUUCUGGAAAACUAUCGCUAGGGUUUAUGGGUAACUCUGGCCUCGUGCAUCCGGACAGACGGCCAUGUCCACUGUUGUCCAUUGGACCCUGAGCUGUGCCGCGACAUUGUAAAAACGUUGAAUUGGGGUUUUGUAGGAAAACUAAAUCUAAACUGUGUACAAGCACUACCGUAUCUGCACAAGUCGUGGUCUCUGAAGGAUAAUAAAGUUUACACACACA